rnacentral:rRNA from 1 species
CGCCUCUUGCAUCAACAUAAGAGGUCUAGCCUGCCCAGUGACUAAGUUCAACGGCCGCGGUAUCCUAACCGUGCGAAGGUAGCGUAAUCACUUGUUCUUUAAAUGAGGACUAGUAUGAAUGGCACCACGAGGGUUAUACUGUCUCCUUUUUCCAAUCAAUGAAACUGAUCUCCCCGUGAAGAAGCGGGGAUAUAACUAUAAGACGAGAAGACCCUAUGGAGCUUUAAACUAUGUAACACUGGCUUCCACACUGUAAUAUUUGAGAAUUACCAUAAUUAUACUAGCCACUAUGAUUACUAGUUUUAGGUUGGGGUGACCGCGGAGCAAAAAUUAACCUCCAUGCUGAACGGAGUUAUUCCUGAGCCAAAAGCCACAACUUUAAGCACUUAUAAAUUAACAUUAAUUGACCCAAUAAUUUGAUCAACGAACCAAGUUACCCUAGGGAUAACAGCGCAAUCCAUUUUAAGAGCUCAUAUCGACAAAUGGGUUUACGACCUCGAUGUUGGAUCAGGGUAUCCCAGUGGUGCAGCCGCUACUAAAGGUUCGUUUGUUCAACGAUUAAAACCCUACGUGAUCUGAGU